UACGUAGGGCGCAAGCGUUGUCCGGAAUUAUUGGGCGUAAAGAGCUCGUAGGCGGUCCGUCACGUCUGCCGUGAAAACCCGAGGCUUAACCUCGGGCCUGCGGUGGAUACGGGCGGACUAGAGGUAGGUAGGGAGAAUGGAAUUCCCGGUGUAGCGGUGAAAUGCGCAGAUAUCGGGAGGAACACCGGUGGCGAAGGCGGUUCUCUGGGCCUUACCUGACGCUGAGGAGCGAAAGCGUGGGAGCGAACAGG
rnacentral:rRNA from 1 species